CCGGGGGUGGAGGCAGGUGGCCGGGGACGCGGCGGCGAGAAGCUUCGGUGGUCCGGUGCGCUCUCUCCGAUCCCUGCUGUGCCCGCCGGGCCGGAGACCCGCCGCGGCAAACCCGGGAGGAAGCUUUGAGCCGAGCUUCCCGCCGGGAGGUUCUUGUAGUUUCCCGGACUUCGCUUUCUGUUUCGAUUCUCUUCCUGCUCCUCGUCAGGCCUUUCCCGACGUAACCCGCCGGGCGACGAGUGUAGGUUUCGUUGGGGAGGAGACGCCCUUUGGUUGGUCCUGGCAAGGACAGUGUUUGGGUCGCAGGCACUGUGGGAAACAGAAAAAGAAAGCGAAUUCGAAUGCAACAGCAGCGAUCCAGCAAUGCUUCUUGGGCAGGUGUUUUGACUUCUUUGCAAGGUUCUGCCCCCCAAAUCAGACUUGUUUCCCACAGCCCUACAGCAUCCCCCCCCCACCCCCCACCCCCGCCAGCUAAAGCGUGGAGGGCUGGAAAGCGCGUGAUGUGGGACUUCCCAGUGCAGAAGUGCCUCGGACUCUGAUGCCAACAGGAAGGAGUUACCCUUGGUUGGUGCGUACAGGGCCCAGUGACAGACGAAGAAGGACUUUAACCACCAACUCAGCUUAGGAGGAAGCCAAGAAUGAAGGUUUUCUAACUCCCAGCCUGAUUGUAAGCUGCUUGAAGAGAGGACGCCUUUACACAAUAACCAGUACAAUACAAGCCGCAGGUCCUACCAACAGGUCCUCGCUGAUUAUUCCCAAUGGAAAUUUGAUUUGCUGUGACCUUAGCAGCUGACCCAAUGUCAAACACAUAGUGAAAAGUUGCUGAAGUGAAAUGCAACUUUGGCUUUGCAGUGGGGAGAGUGGGCAGCCUUGUCUUGUUCCUGAUCUUGGGGGUGAUCCGAGGUGAGGAAGAGAUCUCCAAGGAAGAGAUCUUCAUAGGAAGAACAUGUUGACAUGCUCAGAGGAGAAAGAGUCUGUGGGAGAUUCCCAGUAGCAGGAAAAGAACCCACGAGGAUUCUCCGCCCAGCCGGUACGGGCGAGACAGGUACCGCUGAACGCCAGGGAUGAGCGCUCCGGGACCUGGCAUCGGCGAAGACACUUAAUGAUCCAAAUUUGGCGUGCUAUGGAUUGAACCAUGUCCCCUUAAAAUUUAUUUGUUGAAGCCCUCACCCCAUUUGUGAUGGGAUUUGGAGAUGGGAAUCCUUGGAUGGUAACUAGGUUUAAAUGAGGUUAGGAAAGUAUAAUCCUCAAGACAGGUUUAAUGCCCUUAUAAGAAGAGAGAACAGAGAACUUACUUCCUCUGUCUCUCUCCACCCACAACUCGGAGGACAAAGCAAGAAUGAGGAAGAACCAGGUGUGGAUACAGCAAGAAGGUGGCCAUCUGAACCCAAGGAGAGAGUGCUGCCUAGAGCUUGUCCCUGCUGGACCUUGAUCUUGGACCAG